rnacentral:lncRNA from 1 species
AAAACUACAGCGAGACAACUCCCACGAGAAGUCCACUCGCUCGGUACUACAACCGGCAGCAAGACAACUCCCACGAGGAGAUAACUUGCUCAGUCAUAUAACCCGUUGCAAGGCAACUCCCACGAGGAGUCAACUCCCUCGGGUCCACGAACCCAUAGCGAGAUAACUCCUACGAGGAUACCACUCGCUCCAUCCUAUGACCCGCAGCGAGAUUACCCCCACGAGGAGCCAACUCGCUCGGUACUACAACCUACAGCGAGAUAACUCCCACGAGGAGACAACUCGCUCGGUACCCCAACCCGCAGCGGGACAACUCCCACGAGGAGACAACUCGCUCAGAGCAACCUCAAUCCGCACGCUCCUAAAUCGCGCAUCAUCCAAUGCUCCUACAACUCACCGCGAGACAACUCCCAUGAGGAGACAACUCGCCCGAAAUUCACUAUAUAAUCGCAAGCUCAAGUUAGCACGAUUACAACCAUAGAAACACUUAGAGAUAUUAUGACAAUCUAUAUAGCCUGGCCAGCUUGAUUACUCAAAUUUAUCUACUUGUUUUCGAUGGGUCCUUCAUUAAAACGUGGCCACGGUCCAAACAUACUUACGACCCACGAGGUCUAACAAGGGGCAUGAUCCCCAUAAAAAAAAAAUCUUGAGAGCCUGAUCCCCUCUUCAAGUACGUCACCCACAAGGCUAUAUGUAAACACAUACAAGCAACGCGUCAAAACAUUGACAAUGUCGAUAAAAAACAACUCCCACGAGGAGACCACUCGCUCCGUGCUACUUCAUUAUCGCGAGACAACUCCCACGAGGAGAUAACUCGAUCAAUUCUAUUACCCCAGAGACAACUCCCACGAGGAGAUUAAUUGAUCCGUGCUACUACAUUAUCGCGAGACAACUCCCACGAGGAGAUAACUCGAUCAACACUAUUACCCCGCGACGAGACAACUCCCACGAGGAGAUAGUUCGCUACUACAUCGUCGCGGGACAAAACCGACGACUCAAUUAACUUAUAUCGCGGCAACUUUGUCGCGCUAUGCGCCAACGCGCAUUCACACCCCUCCGACACACGCUCCAACGCGUUUUCGCAUACCAUUAGGCC